AUUGAACGCUGGCGGCAUGCCUUACACAUGCAAGUCGAACGGCAGCGCGGACUUCGGUCUGGCGGCGAGUGGCGAACGGGUGAGUAACACGUAUACAAUCUGCCUAUAACAGGGGAAUAGCCCGGAGAAAUUCGGAUUAAUGCCCCAUAACAUAUGAAGUAGCAUUAUUUUAUAUUGAAAGCUCCGGCGGUUAUAGAUGAGUAUGCGGGUGAUUAGCUAGUUGGUGAGGUAACGGCUCACCAAGGCGACGAUCACUAGGGGAUAUGAGAGGACUACCCCCCACACUGGGACUGAGACACGGACCGGACUCCUACGGGAGGCAGCAGUAAGGAAUAUUGGUCAAUGGAGGCAACUCUGAACCAGCCAUGCCGCGUGCAGGAUGAAGGCGCUAUGCGCCGUAAACUGCUUUUGUACCGGAGAAAACCACUGUUCGUGAACGGUGUUGAUAGUAUGGUAAGAGUAAGGAUCGGCUAACUUCGUGCCAGCAGCCGCCGUAA
rnacentral:rRNA from 1 species